rnacentral:lncRNA from 1 species
CAUAUCAAUCCUUGAAAAUUCAAGUACAUAUCAUGCAAUAUGAAAUAAAAAAUGAAGAUCAUUUAUCAUAUUUUAACAACACUAACUUUAAAUGAACAUGUGUGCCACUUCUUCUUCUACACUUGUCAAACAUACAACUCUACCUUUGUUGUACAUCUCUCACAUCGAAUGACCCCUACAUUCGUGGAGCUGAUUAUCUUU